rnacentral:rRNA from 1 species
CGUGGAGGUCCGAACCCACGAGCGUUGAAAAGCUCGGGGAUGACUUGUGGGUAGCGGUGAAAUUCCAAUCGAGCCCGGAGAUAGCUGGUUCUCCCCGAAAUAGCUUUAGGGCUAGCCUCAAGGUGAGAGAUACGGAGGUAGAGCACUGAAUGUCCUAGGGGGUAUUGCACCUACCGAAGACUAUCAAACUCCGAAUGCCGUCAUCUUAUACUUGGGAGUCAGACUGUGGGUGAUAAGAUUCAUAGUCGAAAGGGCAACAGCCCAGAUCGUCAGCUAAGGUCCCUAAAUGUAAGUUAAGUGGUAAAGGAUGUGGGAUUGCACAGACAACCAGGAUGUUGGCUUAGAAGCAGCCACUCAUUCAAAGAGUGCGUAAUAGCUCACUGGUCGAGUGAUCCUGCGCCGAAGAUUUCCGGGGCUAAAACUUACUACCGAAGCUACGGCAUCAGUAAUGAUGGGUAGGGGAGCUUCCCAUACGGGUUGAAGCAUGACCGUAAGGACAUGUGGACAGUAUGGGAGUGAGAAUGUUGGCAUGAGUAGCGAGAUGUGGGUGAGAAUCCCACAGGCCGUAAACCCAAGGUUUCCAGGGGAAGGUUCGUCCGCCCUGGGUUAGUCGGGACCUAAGCUGAGGCCGAAAGGCGUAGGUGAUGGACAACAGGUUGAUAUUCCUGUACUACCGAUAACCGUUUGAGAGAAGGGAUGACACAGUAGGAUAAGCUAAGCACACUGUUGGUUAUGUGUGCCCAAGCAUUGAGGCAGUCAAAGUAGGCAAA